ensembl:lncRNA
CGAGUGCUCGCGAUGACGGAGAGGGCGCUCGUGCUUCGGGUGAGUAGUCCAGCGGAGACCGGAGCUCGCCACAACUUCUAUUUCCCCUCCACCCCCCUUUCAUUUGCAAUUAUUUACAAAACAAUAACAAUAAUGACAUCCGUUCGUCUGUCGCGAAACGGCACAGAAAUCCUCGCACGAGGAUCUGCAAAGCAUCCACACACUGGUCUACUCCAUUGAUUUCUGAAGUGGAUGCCGAAAUGCUGACUUGCCUUUUAUGGCCAGAUAUAUGGUUUAAGAGCUAGCAAUCUCAGCACUAGGAGGUCAGUUUGGGUAGAAAAAAUAG